rnacentral:rRNA from 1 species
AGUGAACGCUGGCGGUAGGCCUAACACAUGCAAGUCGAACGGCAGCACAGGAGAGCUUGCUCUCUGGGUGGCGAGUGGCGGACGGGUGAGGAAUACAUCGGAAUCUACUCUGUCGUGGGGGAUAACGUAGGGAAACUUACGCUAAUACCGCAUACGACCUACGGGUGAAAGCAGGGGACCUUCGGGCCUUGCGCGAUGGAAUGAGCCGAUGUCGGAUUAGCUAGUUGGCGGGGUAAGGGCCCACCAAGGCGACGAUCCGUAGCUGGUCUGAGAGGAGGAUCAGCCACACUGGAACUGAGACACGGUCCAGACUCCUACGGGAGGCAGCAGUGGGGAAUAUUGGACAAUGGGCGCAAGCCUGAUCCAGCCAUACCGCGUGGGUGAAGAAGGCCUUCGGGUUGUAAAGCCCUUUUGUUGGGAAAGAAAUCCAGCUGGCUAAUACCCGGUUGGGAUGACGGUACCCAAAGAAUAAGCACCGGCUAACUUCGUGCCAGCCGCCGCAGUAA